CCCAGGCGGGGAGGGGUGCGAGGGGCCGAGGUCACAGCACAGUGAGUGUCCCGGGCCAGGGGCUGCCCAGGCGGGGAGGGGUGCAUGGGGCUGAGGUCAGAGCUGAGGCUGAACCUGCUGUGAGGGAUUCUUCCACUGGUGCUGGUGGCAGGAGGCGUGAGAGGGGCCUCUCUUCUGCCCCCAGGACAAGGAAGAGGCCAGGGAAAGCGGGGACAGGGACACGUAGACCUGAGAGUGCCUGGCAGCCCUGGAGGAAGGUUCUCGGUGCCGCAGCUUUGGUUUGGUUGGUUGGUUUUCUUUCCUCGAGAGCCCCUGACUCCAAAAGCACAGGGCAAGAGAGCCAUGUGGGCAGAAAAUUCCUUAAAUGCUGCCAUUCUGUAUUUUAGAGAUAAUGGUAAACUUUCCAUUUCUCUAUGUUUAAAAUGUAAAAUGAUGAAGAGUAGAGAAGUGGGAAAAGCCAGGGUGGUCAGAAAGGGGGCCAGCAGAGAAUGUGCUGCAGGCGUCCACAGGGGACCGUGGGGUCACCUGUGUGCCCCUGAUGUUUGUCCCUUAGCAUCUUCAAUGGUGCCCUCACUGGACACCUGCCCUUGGCUCCCAGGCCGAGGCUGUGAAGCCCUGGGAAGGUGGGCGUGGGCCGGGGGCAUCUUCUGCUCUGAAGAUCAGGGCCUAUACCUGGGCUUUCCAGAAACACAUCCCACUUGGACAGUGUGGUCCCCAGGGGCCCCGACCUAACCCGCUCCGAGGACAGACACAGUCUCCCCAGCCCCACCCAUGUCUCUCUCAGCCCAGGGGACACUCAGCAAUGGCAGGGGACACUUUUAAAUGCCACGACUAGGCUAGUGCCCCCGGCAGGCAGUGGCUAAAGGCCAGGGAUGCUACCCAGCACCGUACAGUACCCAGGACAAACCUCACAGCAAAGCAUUAUCCAGGCCAAAACACCAGCCGCAUGGGGAUCAGGAGACCCUGAUCCGCACAGUGCCAGCGUGGCAGAGCCCAGGGCCAGCGAGACAGACUUGCUGAUGGACACGUGCCUGCUUCCAGUGGCCACGAUGGCAGCCGACAAACCUGGACUUGAAGCAGGCCAAGAGCUUCCUAUUCUGCACACCUGGUUGUCCACAAGGCAGAGGCCUAAGUGGGUCCUGGGAGCCUCAGCUGGUGGCCACCCAGGGUCCCAGGUACUGAGGAGCCCCAGGGACGCCCUGGGAGCAGGAGAGAGCCCAGAGCCUUCCUGCCCACGGCCCCCUGCACGCUUCCUUCACAAGCCCAAGCCAGGCUGAGAGGAUGAUCUCUGGCUGGCUCUCUGAAGGGGACCCCUGGAGGACAGCAGGGCUGGCAGCUCCUUCCCUCCUACUGCCAGGCCCAAGUCCCAGACCUCCUCCCCAGCUGCCAGCGGGAGCCUCCAGGUCUCCCAGGGGCAGCUGGCCUGAGUUUGUCUCCCGGUGAUUCAUCAAAUGGUGUUCUCCACUUACAUUUUGACCUAUUUCAUUAAUCAUCAAAUGAAUCCAUUGCAAAAAAUUUUUUUAAACAAUAGCGAGGUGUAUAAAAUGAAAAGUGGUCUCCUGCCCCUCUAGGUCUCGUCCCUCCACCGCAGAGCGGUUUCCACUGCCGCAUCCCAGUGGUGUCCAGACAGAGUGGGCCUCCAGCUGUGCAGUGUUUCCAGACUCCCACCGUGAAGCCGGGGGGUCAGCUCCCCUCCCUCCCACCCCUCUCCACUACUACCUCCAGUUCUUUGCUGGUUGCAGGAUUAUUUUUUUUUUAACUUUUAUUUAAUGAAUAUAAAUUUCCAAAGUACGACUCAUGGGUUACAAUGGCUUCCCCCCCCAUACCGUCCCUCCCACCCACAACCCUCCCCUUUCCUACUCCCUCUCCCCUUCCAUUCACAUCAAGAUUCAUUUUCGAUUAUCUUAAUAUAUAGAAGAUCAGCUUAGUAUACCUUAAGUAAGGAUUUCAACAGCUUGCUCCCACACAGAAACAUAAAGUGAAAAAUAAUAGAUGAUUUUUUUUAAAUGAUGAUGAAAUCAGAUCAGACCUAUUGUCAUGUUUAAUCCCAGUGAGAGUCAAGUUGGGAAUUGAUAAUUUUUUUUUUUACAGAAGAUCAGUUUAGUGUACAUUAAGUAAAGAUUUCAAUCGUUUGCACCCCCAUAGAAACACAAAGUGAAAUAUACUGUUUGAGUACUCGUUAUAGCAUUAAGCCUCAGUGUACAGCACAUUAAGGACAGAGAUCCUACAUGAGGAGUAAGUGCACAGUGACUCCUGGUUGCAGGAUUAUUUUUAGUUCUCCUGCUGGUCACCAUUAUAACUUUCAGUAAGGCUCUUGAGUCGGUAUUUGUCAACUCUGUCCCCACUAAGCUGAGGAAAUUCACCCGCCUUCCCUCUCGGCUCAGCAUCCUGCCAAGUGCUGCCCUGCCAAGGUUUCACAGUUCUCUCCUGCCUUCCACGGUUUGGUCGUCCAUGUUCCACCUCCAGGAGAGAGGUCCAUGGCAGGGAAGACAGGGGUACCCGACAGUCAGUCAGGAGUACCUUUUUUUUUUUUUUUAAGAUUUAUUGAUUUAUUUGAAAUGUUCAAUGAGAGAGUGAAAAAGAAUGCCAGAGAGGGAGCAGUACCUUCCACCCACCGCUUCAUGCCCCAGUUGGCCACAACAGCCAGGGCUGGGCUGAGCUGAAGCCAGGAGCCUGGAACUCCAUGUGAGUGGCAGGGGCCUAAGCACUUGGGCCAUCGUCCGCUGUUUUACCAGGUGCGUCAGCAGGGAUCUGGAUCAGAAGUGGAGUAGCAGGGACCCAAACUGCCACUCCCAUGUGGGAUGCUGGCAGCCCAGCCCACUGCACCACGGUGCCAGCCCUGUCAAAUGUAUCUUAAAUGCGGUCUGGUCCAGGGCUGCAUUGUGGUAACUAUUUUAGCAGUUUAGCCUCAUCUCGGACCCAGUACAUAAAACAGGUAAAAACGGAUGUGUAUGUGUUGGGGUAGAAAGGAGGCAGGCCCGGCAGUGCAGUCACACUGCACACUUACAGGGGGCGCUGUGUGCAUCCUACAGCCCCCCAGUCACCAUGGCUGCAGCCCUGUCCUUUACAGGUGAGGACCCAGGACUCAGAGGGAAAAGGGACAAUGCCUGGCGUGGCCAGGCUCUCACUUGUGCUCAAGUGUGCCUCAAGCCUCAGUGAACGGGGCUGGCUCUGCCACUCUGGGCAGAUCCCACCAGGGGCCACGCAAGUGAGUUCCCUGGCUUGGUGAGCUUCGGUUUUCCUGAACCAGCUCCCCGCUGCAUUGUCUGUGCAGGCAGUCCACGUUUCCUCCCCUCAUGCGCUCUCCUGUGCCCCUGUGGGCAGCCUCUUACUCCCGGUCCUGUGGAGACACCCAGCCAGCUGCGCGGUCACCGCCUCCUGUGUGCUCCCACUCGGGCCCCAGGCCUUCUCCCUCGGCACCUUUCCACCCGGCCUCAGCCGCUCAGAGUGCCCCACUGCGCCUGUGGCCUCAGCCUCUCCCUGUGAGCACCUGAGGCCUGAGUGACCCUCUCCAACCUCACACGGGUUUUAAUUCCUCCUACACCCAGAUGUCUCUCAAACUGCCAUCCCCCACUCUGCCCCUCCUCCUGACUUCCUUUUUUUUUAUUUUUAAUUAGUUCAUUUGAAAGGCACAGUUAACCAAGAGAGAAGAGACAGAGAGAGAGAUCUUCCAUCUACUGGAAGAUUUGGUUCACUCCCCAAAUGGCCACAUAAGCCAGGGCUGGGCCACGCCAAAGCCAGGAGCCAGGAGCUUCCUCCAGGUCUCCCACGUGGGUGCAGGUGCCCAAGGAAUUGGGCAAUCUUCCACUGCUUUCCCAAGCCACUAGCAGAGAGCUGGAUCAGAAGUGGAGCAGCCAGAACUCAAACUGGCACCCAUGUGGGAUGCCAGCACUGCAGGCCGUGCCUUGACCCACUGCGCCACAGCUCCAGCCCCUCCUCCUGACUUCUGUCUGCCCGUUUGGGCACCUGAACAUAGCCAAAGCAUGCUGGUAGAAUGCCCACUCCCCACCAUCCCCGCAGAAGCCGCUCUGCCUGGCUCUUCCCUCUCUCUACAGGCAUCUCCGUUCUCCCCCCCACCCCCGAGGUGUCUAACUCGCUUCUUCCUCUCUUCUCCCACCUCCAAGCCACCAGCAAACACAGCUCCCUUUGCAGAGACAUCUACCAUCGUCACCGCCUCCCAUUCCCCCGCACCUGCCGCCCUGGCGCCCGCUGCCAUCCCCUCCCUCGUGCAGGCAGAGCCACCCCCCUGCAAGCCCCCCUGCUCCGCUGUCACUGCGGCUGCAGAGCCCCUGUUUCUACAGCCUCCCAGGGGCUCCCAAGUCGCUCAGAGUAAAAAGCCAAGUCCUCAAGGGCCUGCUGCCCCCUCCCCGAUUUCACUUCUGGCCCCUGCUCCUGUCUCAGCCCAGUCUCACCCCUACCUGCCUCCACCAAAUGUGCUUCCCGCCUCCCUGCUUCCAGCCUUGCACCCCUGCAGGCCUGCCUGCCAGGCUCCAGCAGCGCUCCGUGCCCACUGCUGCCUCUGCUGGGCCUCUCAGGGCUCACUCUCCAGCUGCCUCCCACUCUGCAUCUGGGAAGCUUUCUCCAACCACCCUGUAGCAGACAGCAGCCCCUGGACCACUUGCCCAGUUCUUUCCUCUGCCACUGACGUAAGACAGCUCUUCCCUGUUAGUUAUCACACAGGUGCACACAGGCACAUGCACCCCCGCUGGGAAGGUGGGAGCCACAUGGGUCUUGGUCUUGGCCACUGCCCCAUCCCCAGCUCCCAGAGAAGCAGGUAGGUAGGAUGUGCAGGGAGUACACAUUCAGAUUAAGUAGCUUUAACCUCCCCUCCGCUCCCAUGGCCAUCUCCUCCUAUGAGCCUUGGCCAGCGUGGCGCGAGACCAGAAGAUCAGAGGAUCUGCUAACAGAUUUGCCCAUCUGGGGCAGGAGGGGCAGGACCAGUGGCUCCCAGGCCUGGUGUCUAGCUGGAGAUGACAAUGUUGAUGACAAGCAAGGUUAUCUUCUAAAGGACCAACACAGCAGAGGCCGUGGGGCCUGCUGGAGAGACUGAGACCAAAGCCUGCCCAGAUACCCACAGCCUAGCAAGGAGACUGGGGGGCAGCUGGAAUUCACAGGUCUGCUCUGCAGCCCCACGCCCUUCCACGGAAGGCCUGGUCAGGCUCGGGAGAGGAGUGUUAGGAAAAGAGCCCUGAUUCCAAAGACCUGGGCCCCAUGGAGGCCCCGCCACUGCCUGCCUGUGUGACCCCUCCCCAGAGCAUCCAGCGCGAAGGUGCACACAGGCCCCUCUGCAAGGAGGAGGCACAACACAGCGGGCGGUGCUCGGGGACCUGGCUCAGCGUCGGGCACCUGAGCACAGCGCUCUGGAGCCAGCUGUCCAGAAGGUGCCUUGUCUGCGCUGCGCCCCCGUUUCUAGUCUUGGGGGACUGAAGGUUAGAGCACGGUCACACAGCCUACCUGUUGGCUUUUAUUUUUGUUUGAUUUGAGAGGCAGUGCAACAGAAAACUCCCGUGCACUGGUUCAUUCCCCCAGUGCCCACUGUAGCUGGGGCUGGGCCAGGCCAACACUGGGAGCUGGAAAGUCAAUCCAGGUCUCCUGUGUGGGUGACAGGAACCAACUAUUUGUGCCGUCACCUGCUGCCUGAGUGACGUUAGUAGGAAGCUAGAACUGGGAGCAGAGCCGGGCACAAACCCAGGCACUGUGACACGGGCUGUGGGCAUCACAGGCAGGACUUCAGCCACUGUGCCCAGCGCCUGCCCAGUACAGUUAUAAGCAUGACGGUCUCAUUUAAAAGCUUGACCUUGUCUGAGCGUGCCUGGAGCCUUGAACACAGCCCAUCAGGGUCUGAAUUAGAGACCCUGAGAACAAGAAGCCAGGAUCCUACCUGGACAGCCUGGACCGGAUUGGGGCCGCCGACUACCAGCCCACCGAGCAGGACAUCCUCCGAACCAGGGUCAAAACCACUGGCAUCGUAGAAACCCACUUCACAUUCAAGAACCUUCACUUCAGGCUGUUUGACGUCGGG